GCAGGUACCUCAGUUGGUUAGGCCGGUGCGCUUCGCUCGCGUAGGUCGCGGGUUCGAUUCCUGUUUUUACUA
rnacentral:tRNA from 1 species